UUGCGUGAUACAAUAAAGAUAACGACGUGCUAGCUCGAUAGACACAAGCAACGCAAUAAGGAUAUUAAUUAUAAAGCACUACAGGCAGAGAGUGGAUACUCAAGGCAAGGAAGGCAUGGACCCAGUUUGAACAGGUCGUAUCUCCGUAGUGAAAAGAGAAGAAUAUGGGUGACUACGUCAUAACAAUAACACGAUAUUAUAGGUCGGUGUUAAGCUUUAAACCAAGUAGCGAAAUGUGACUGUUAGCCUGAGGAAAUACAAUGGUGCAGCGUUUUAACACUUUUUCGCAAGAUAUCGCUUUUCAUUUGAAGUCACUAUGUCAUUUUUCAUACUACCGACGUAGGCUGGGAUGUAAUAAAGAGAGUGAUUGAUGAAUGAUGAACAAAAGAUGCUCAAAAUGCCAUCAACCUAUACGCUAAAUAAAUAGAAACCGAAAAUUAACCUGGUAACCCUGACAAUUUUAGGAAUGUUUUGGAAAAAAGCAGCACAAUUGUCAUGACGUUUAUUAGAUUAAGUGUGAGCCGCUCUCAGAUGGUUGGAAAGGAAGUAAACACAAAUCCUACUCCAUAUUAUAUAGUAGAAACAUUGUUAGGAAUUACUUUGAAGUCGAUCGUAAACUCUAGUCUUAGUUAAGAAUUUGACUUUGCUCUUCGAUAGUUCGUGUCAUCUGUCAAUGUCUACUUCUAUUCUGAUUCAGUCAUCCAUUUCAUCCAAUUUCCUCAUCUACUCCAGGGUUCGGGACAUUAGGAAUCCUUAUUUCCACUAUUAAAAUGAAGGAAAUUCGUCUCUUGGGUCAGACUCUAUCAAUGCUUUUUUAUUUCAAAGAAUUGGAGUCCUGAGUCUGUCUCAACAAUCUACAUUCUUGAUUCUACAAUUUGACAAUGUUUUCAUUUUAUUAGUCAUUCAAACCCAUUGAGGAUCUUCCACGUCGUAGUGAAGCAUAUGAAGCUAAGUCUCACAUUCUCAAGAGAAUCACUUUUCCAUAGCGCACUACAGCGAGGAACGAAUGUAAGAAAAUCAUCGUCUUGAAAAUGAAAAGAGCAAACUCGUGAAUUCUUAGAAGGUGCCUAGACUCCGCCAGCUUGCCUAGGAAUUGCUCUAAGCCAUGCACUUUUUAAGCAUUCAUCAUGAGGGACAAAGUGUAGAUACACAGUAGGGUUAUUGGUGCAUUUUUAUAUCCACUGCGACAAUUUGGUACACAACAGUAGGCUGGUAUUAUGAAAAAAUAUCUGAAACAUGAUUUCAAAUUAGGUACACAUAUUAUAUAACUACGAUAAAAUAAUUGUCUCUUCAAUUAAUUAUUAUCAUUAAUGUAAUAACCAUUCAAAAAAGUAAUUAUUAUUAUGAAGUCAGUUUAAUCAAAUUAUAUCAAUUUUC
rnacentral:lncRNA from 1 species